UAUUACUCACUGAUCCUUGCGGGAGCAGCUACACAGCACAGGUAAGUGAGGGAUGGGGGAAAGGCAGCAGGGAGACAUGGGGACACUGAGACACUAGGGGACACAUGGGGAUACAGACACUAGGGGAUACCACGAGACCUGGGGACACUGAUAUACUUGGGGACACUGGAAAACAUGGGGACACUGAGACACUGGGCGACAUGGGGACACUGUGAGACAUGGGGACACUGAGACACAUGGGGACACUGUGAGACAUAGGGACAAUGGGAGACAUUGGGACACAGAGAAAUUAGGGAUACAGUGUCCCCAUUU